GGCGCGCGCAGUCCGUCGGCGCCGCGCGGAGAAGGCAGCGUCGCCGCCGCCGGACCCGAGGACCCGAGGACCCCCGCCCCCGCCCGCCGCGUCGCCAUGGCCUGCCGGCCGCGAAGCCCCUCCGGGUGCGGGAGCCGCCGCGACGGCGACGCCAGCCCGCCGCCCCCCGCGAGAUGGAGCCUGGGACGCAAGCGCACGGCCGACGGGAGGCGCCGGAAGCCGGAGGACGCCGAGGGCCCCGCGAGGCCGGCGGGCGGCCGCAGACCCGACAGCUUCACCACCCCCGAAGGCCCUCAGCCCCGUUCUCGAUGCUCCGACUGGGCGAGCGCCGUGGAGGAGGAUGAGAUGAGGACUCGGGUGAGCCAGGAAAUCGCGAGGUAUAAGAGGAAACUCCUCGUCAAUGACUUUGGAAGAGAGAGGAAAUCCUCAUCAGGAAGUUCCGACUCGAAGGAGUCUCUGUCUGCGCUGCCAGCUGACCUGGAGACUGACGAGAGCGUCCUGAUGCGGAGACAGAAGCAGAUCAACUACGGGAAGAACACCAUCGCCUACGACCGCUACAUCAAGGAAGUCCCAAGGCACCUCCGACAACCUGGCGUUCAUCCCAGGACUCCCAACAAGUUCAAGAAGUACAGUCGACGAUCGUGGGACCAGCAGAUCAAACUGUGGAAGGUGGCGCUGCAUUUCUGGGACCCUCCAGCUGCCGAAGGGUGUGACUUGGAAGAAAUGUAUGUCUGUACUGCAUUCUCCUCCCGCUCCUGCAGCUCCUGCAGUGACUGCAGAGGCCUUGUCACUUGGUCGUGGCGGGUUGUCCUGGCACAGUGUCCACCUGGAUGUUCUGGGGGAGCAGAGCAGCCAGUGGUCACAGUUUCAUGUCCCUUUUCUCUGCACAAGUGUGUGAAGCCUGGGCUCUGGGCGGGCUCGGGGGAGGAGGGUGCUUCCUGGGUUGAAUUCACUUUGCAGCUGGGGAAAUUGAUUGCAAUAAACCUAGAGAUAUGUGGGGGUUCUGUUUGUUCCUAAGAUAAACUUUUUUUUUGUCUUUUGAGGGCUGCACCACAGCACAUGGAAGUUCCCAGCCUAGAGGUCGAAUCGGAGCUGGGCCUACGCCACAGCCACAGCCACAGCCACAUGGGAUCCAAGCCACAUCUGCCAUCUACACCACAGUUCACAGCAAUACCGGAUCCUUAACCCACUGAGCAGGGCCAGGGAUUGAACCUGCGUCUCAUGAAUACUAGUUGGGCUAUGACUGUUAAGCCAAAAUGGGAACUCCCAGCUUUUAUCUCUUUAAGCUGCAUCUAGUUGGGAAGAUCUCAGGCUUGUUUCUGCCACGUGGUCAGGGUGCUGGGUGGACACAGAGGCAGAGAGAGCCUGGGCUCUGCAGCCUCUCUUCUCAACUCCCUUUUGGCUGCGCCUGUGGCCUAUGGGGGGACCUGAGUCAGGGAUUGAAUCUGAACUCCACCUGGCCACAGCCGCAGCAGCGCUGGGUCCUUAACCCACCGUACUGGGCUGGGGGUUGAACCUGCACCGCCACAGAGACAAGGCGGGAUCGUUAACCUGCUGUGUCACAGUGGGAGCUGUGGCUGCCGGCUUACACCCCCAGCUCCCUUCUGACCCAAACCUCUCUCUCCCUCACAGACACGUUUAUUCUCGUGAAUGUGUGAGUUUUGCUCUGUGCCAGGGAAAUUUACUGGGAAACUUUUUUUUUUUUUUUUUUUUUUUUGGUCUUUAGGGCCACACCCACCGCACAUGGAGGUUCCAGGCUAGGGGUCGAAUUGGAGCUGUAGCCGCCGGCCUGCACCACAGCCACAGCAAUGCGGGAUCUGAGCCGCGUCUGUGACCUACAUACACCACAGCUCACAGUAACGUCGGAUCUCUAACCCUCUGAGUGAGGCCAGGGAUUGAACCCACAACCUCCUGGUUCCUAGUCGGAUUCAUUAACCACUGAGCCACGACGGGAACUCCAGCAACUGUCAUGUUGAAACAGCGUCCAACCUGUUCUCAGACUUGGGCUCGCCAGCGUCACUCGCUCUUGUCCAGCUUGUCCCUCUUCCCGUCUCCUCAUGCGGAGGGAGUUGGAAGCAUCAGCGACUGUGUGUGGUGUGGUUUCUCAGUGUUCUUCUCCCCCCACACUUACUGUUUAUGCUUCCGCUCCCAAGGAUGCUCGUGGGCGCCUGUGGGUCGCCGCUGCCGUCGAGGACGGGCAGGUUGCUGUCUGCUCUGGGCCUCCUGCCUGCAGUAACUGCUGCCGCCUUGCCUCUCCUCUGGGUGGCCCGGGCAGGGCUGAGUCUGGACGUGGGUGUCGCUGGGGCCUGUGGUCCCUCGGGGAGCUAGGAGGUGCUUGGCGGGGGGUGUCGGGCAGCGAGGCUUUGGUGCGCUGGUUUGCGGAGGGUGGGCCUGCCUGGCUCUGCUGACGUGCCUGCUUUCUCUGCGCAGACAUCCCGUGGACCUCGGGGAGAUGGAGACGGACUCGGCGGGAAGCAGCUCCGAGUCCCAGGCGAGCUCGCAGGAUAACCUGGACGUGUACUGUGGCACACCCACCAAGGUCAGACACGUGGACUGCCCGCUGGAGGAUGAGUUCGACUUGGAAGCGUGUUUAACGGAGCCCCUGAAAGACUUCUCGGCCAUGAGCUAACCGGUGCCCCCGGAAGCCCCUGGGAGCCGGGCUGCCCCGCUCCCUGCCCAGGAGGAGGCCGGCGAGGCGCCCUGCAUCUGGAACCCGUUGUUUCCUGUUAAUAGUAUUGUCUCACGUGGAUUGCUGUUCUUGCCUUAUUUUCUUGAGAAAAUUAAUUUUACGUAUAGGGAGUGUAUUUUGCAUGUUUUAAAUUGAAGAUGGAACUGAAUUCAAGGAACAUUAAACUUGAGGCCGUCUUGUGACAGCCGUAAUGGCUCAGUCUCCUCCAUCCUUCAGCUGAACCCACAGGCAUCCCUCACCUGGUUUUCCGCAAGUGUUUCGGGUAUUAAGUUGCUCUUCGUCAGAGGGCUGGUUUGGGUUUAACAUGUGUUCUCGGGACCGAUCUAGCUUCAGCUUUCCUUUCGGGUGUCUGAGGAUCAUAAUCAGAUUCAUUUCUGGCUGUUUGUCAGUAUGUCAGGGCUGGUUUUUUCCUCACACAGCACCGAAUAGUCAGGUAUGAGCUUGAGCUGGUACGUUAAUGGGUUUUAUGUAAGUUUUACAGUCUUCAUCUGCUACUUGUAAAUAGUGCUGGGUAGGCCUUCUACCUGUAAUACUCCAAGAGGUCAGGCAGCAGAGGGGCUUAGAAAGAACUUUUUUUUUUUACAAUCAGUUAAUUUACAUGUAAAAUUGCUGUAAAUGAUAAUGUGUACAGAUUUUCUGUUCUGAUACUCAAUUGUAAACUUCUUGUUAAGACUGUUAUGUUUCUGUUGCUUUUGUAUGGAAUGACAUUGCGAAAAUAAAAGGGACCUUUAACUGA